GCAAGUUUUCUGGAUCUAAACAACAACAUGAUUAAAGCGAUUGGAUGCAAACUUUAUCAGUAGAGCUUAAUUGUGUUAUAUGCUGAAAAUUAAGUAUGAAUGCGUUUGCUAGAGGGGAAUGAAAUUUCCACAUCACCUGUGAUCUAAAAGCAGUUUCCAGAUGAAGUUGGCUGACUAGAGGUUGUGGUGAUUUGAAACUCUAGUUAAAUUCACAUCUGUCCUAAUUGUUCUUUAGAACAGCAGUGGCUCUGGCAGCAGCAGGUCAUGUGAAAGGCUGAAGAUCGGCUCACAAUUCAGCUAACAUUUAAUUAGCAUUCACAUCAAAGCAUGCUAAAGAAAAGGUGAAAUAACACUGUAAUCAUAAUUGGUAGUCUCAUACCAGCCCAUGCCUAGUUACCAACACUGCAGUGAUUAUCGGUGCUUUGGAGACACACUGGUAUUUUUCAUCUUUGUGUCCUGAAAUGAUUUCCUCCUCAGGCUCUUUCCCCAAAACCAAACCUCCUCCGCUCCUGUCUUUGCAUCGGACUCCCCCUGGGAUGUCUUUAGGACCCCUGGGUUCCCGGGUCCCCCCGUCCUCUCUGGAUCUGUACGGACCUCCAGGUUUGUCCCGAGGGCCGCUGCUCCACCACGCUCCUCCGCUCUACCCGGGCCUCCGGUCCAGGCCCAGGGCGGCCCCUCCGUCCUUGAAGGGUUCUCGUCCUCCUCUUCUGUCAACACCAGUUGGUCCCCAUCUGCGACUGGGUGGACCAAGACACUGAAGGCCGACACUGUAACACACAAAGCGUUUUAGUAUUUCAGAUGACUUCAGAGCAGAAAGUUUCCAGUGGAAUCCCCUGUUGGUGUUUCUUAUUAAAAUAAUACAUAAAGUAAUACAUAUUUUCAUGUUUUGAUGCCUUUUUCUUUUUGUUGUUUCCGGCUUUUAACCUGAUUUGCAGCAAGAGGUUAAAACUUGCUCUUGCUGCAAAUAGUCCAGCUUUAUUUGCAAUUAUCUGCCUUUUUUUUUUCCUGAUGAAGUUUCAUAUUUAAGGAGGAAAUGUAACUUUUUCUUUGUGGUGGUAACAUCAGCAACACAAAGUACAAAAGUUUAAACAUGAUUCAGCAGAAAAAAAAGAAAAAACAAGUUAUGAUUUAUUGUGUAGGAUUUAAUUUUUGAUAUGCUGCAUAUUUUUGUUGUUUAUAAAAUUCAGUUAAAUAUGUAAAUGUUCAUCACUAAGCAGGCCAUCAGUUUCUUUCUGCAUUGGACAGAGAUUUUAGAUCCCAUGGACUCAAACGCACCAAACUCUGCAGACAUUAAAUAUAACUGUUAAGCGUAUUUCUUUCUGACAGGCCUGUUUGUUCUGUAUUUCUGAUGGUAAUUAAAUCUUGUCAUUUUUUUCUUUUAAAUGUGA